rnacentral:sRNA from 1 species
UUAUGGGGUAGCGCUGGGGACAGGUGGCCGGGCCAAGGUUCCGGGGGGCCUCCAUGAGAGUCGUGGAUGGGCCCCGCUGUCGGCUG